GUUUGACUUGAAAGAAUGGGGUAUUAGAAAAUCAUUCUACCCAGAGCCAAUAAGGGGAGAACUGUAGAGACUCUCUCAUACAUGCUAUAUUAUGAAUGCCUCCGAACAGUCCACAUUUUUUUGUGUGUUAGAGAAUAUAAAGGUUCCAGAUGGGUACUCAAGCAAUAUAUCAAAGGUUGUGAAUAGUAAGGAUAUGAGACUUAGUGGACAUGAUUACUAUGUAUUGAUGCAAGAGUUGAUCCUAAUAGCUAUUCACCAUGUGUUGUCUAAAAAUGUG
rnacentral:lncRNA from 1 species